GCCGCGAUGGCCCAAUGGUAAGGCGCAGGUUUGCUAAACCUGUUUCCUCACGGAUAUCUGGGUUCGAUUCCCAGUCGCGGCG
rnacentral:tRNA from 1 species